rnacentral:rRNA from 1 species
AACUGAAGAGUUUGAUCAUGGCUCAGAUUGAACGCUGGCGGCAGGCUUAACACAUGCAAGUCGAGCGGGCGAGGUUGCUUCGGUAACUGAGCUAGCGGCGGACGGGUGAGUAAUGCUUAGGAAUCUGCCUAUUAGUGGGGGACAACAUUCCGAAAGGAAUGCUAAUACCGCAUACGCCCUACGGGGGAAAGCAGGGGAUCUUCGGACCUUGCGC